rnacentral:ncRNA from 1 species
AAGAUCGCGAGGUCUUGUGGGGAGGAAGCCGCUAGCAAAAUAUGAGCUGACGAACAGAGCAUCCUAUAAGGCUUAACCUGGAGGUGAGGUGGCCAGGGGCACUGAAGCUGGGUGAUCUAACGGGUAGAGUCAAUGAUGCAGUUAGGUAGCGAAAGUUCACGUU